UGCCUCUGUCGUCUCUCUCGCUGGCUUUUUUUUUUUUUUUUUUAAUGAAGAACCGUUCCAUGAACAUUUUGCACAGAGCACAGAAUUGCUUCUAAAGUCAGUCCGGCGCGGUUGCAAUAGACAGCAAAAAGGUAAACGUUUGCCUGAAAUCCGCACGCCAGCUCCACCACCCCGCCCGAUGGUUCUGUAACAAUCAAGAAUGUGUGGACACCUACCUGUGGGAGGAGGCUUUCAGGGACAUUGUGUCUGGUUCCUGCUGACGCCAGCAUUCUGGAGAUGGACAGCUGUUCAAGGGAAUGAAGAUUCCCCCACAGGACAAGGACUAUUGCCUCCCUGAGUAUCCUAAAAGGUCUCUUGAAACAAACCAAACACUCAGAACUUCUGUGACUGUCAUGGACAGUGUCCUGUUACUGGCUUUAAACAGAGCCCCUCAUGCAGAAGAAGCCCUGUAUCCUGGAGUUAGAUGUCAAUCAUCCUGGGAAGGCUCGUCCAAGAACGCAUGCUUAGAAGAAAACUGUUUUAGGCAUCAUCAUCUAUCACGUGGAUGUCUCUGCCCAGUCCUCCCUUUCCACAAUCACCAACAAUGAAGCCCCAACGCGGGGAGUCCCCGAGUAGCCCCCAAUGCACACACCUGCUGCACGACGUGGGAGGAGCUUUUCUGUGGGAGCCGAGGCCACACACAGGACCCUGGGGAAGAACUCCCAAAGAGACUUACUUUUACGGAAGCCUGUGAUCCUUUAAGAAUGACCAACAGUGCAAAUCAAGUCAAAAGACUUAGAUGCUCUCUCCACUACUCCAUCUCCAGCACCUAGAACAGGUAGAGUAUGUAACUGAUGACUGACUGAAUGGCCCUGGGGAGAGAUUCACAAGAUCACUAUGGGGGGGGAGGUGGGCAGAAGGGAAUGUAAGGAUAGGGAGGUGUGUGCCAAGGUGUUGCUGGCAAUGUUGUGUGCAAAAGAAGAUAAGAUCUCUUGUUGACUGUUGUAAAAAGAAGAUGAACGAAGUGUUGUGUUCAAAUGAGUCCAGUUGAGUGUACCACAGACAAUGAUUGACUUCUUCCCAGUCCCUCACGGGGUAGUAUAGUUUGAGAGGUUUACAUUAAGCUUAUCCCCUCAGAGGCCCUCAGAGGAGGCAAUGAAUAGAUUUGCAAGGAAAAACAACAACAACAACAACAACAACAACAACAACAACAAUAAUAACAACAGGGACCCCACAUGCAAUUCAGGGGAAGUACUUUGAAGCAUUUCAAGGAAGACUCUGAGAAAUGAUAAUAAAGUUUAACGGGAAGGAAUAUUAACUGAUAUGAUUUUCUUCCAAGAAGCAAUUUUGGAUAUAAUAUUUCAAGCUCUAAGUUACAAACUCAGUGACUAGACCUUGAAUGCUUUUAUUUGUGUCUUGGGGUUUCUGUUCCUUCAAUUGAAAAAGAAAAUUAUUAAGAUGAUUUUUUUUCCAGAAAGAUUAAUGGGUAUAGCAUUGGCUGACCAGUUUCCAUAAAACUAUAGUAGCAUAGAAUCACCUAGAUUAAGAACUAGGUUUAAAUCCUGGGACGGCUUAGUAAUACCAGUGCUCAAUUAAAAAUUCCGUAGCAUUGAUUUGAUGAAGAAAAACGUCAUGGUAUGACUGCAACUUUCCCUUCCAGUUGUUAUUGGACACGUUAAUGGAGGGAUGUCCUACAUAGGCUUUGGCAGUCAGAAGGCCAGUUCUCAAAUUAAAAUGAAGUUUCAAAUCCGAGCAUAGGGACAAAAUAAUUUACUUGAAGGGUAACAAAGGAGGUUCUUGCCUAAAAAUAAAUGUGAUAGAUUUGGCUUCAAUGUUAGGUGGCACUUCUUUAUAAUUUUUGUAAACCUGAAAUCUUUCAUAAUUCACACAGAUAGAAAUGCUAGCCACUUGAAGGUGAAAAAUGGUACUGUAUUUUAUUUUACAUUCUCAAUGUCUAGCACCUGUUUCUUGGUAUGUAAACAAUCUAUUUAACUGUUUUUGAAAGAGCAGACUAAAAAUAUUUUGUCAAUGUGUGUGUGUGUGUGUGUGUGUGUGUGUGUGUGUGUGUGUGUGUGGUGUAUGCAUGUGUGGUAUAUGUGUACAUAUGUGGGCAGAUGCAGAGGCCACAGGAGGACAUUGGGUGUCAUGUUCUAUCUUUUGAGACAGGACUUCUCAUUGAAUGUGGGGCUAGGCUGACAGUCAUCAAGCCCCAUUCAUUCUCUCUCUCUCUCUCUCUCUCUCUCUCUCUCUCUCUCUCUCUCUCUCUCUCUCGUGCUGAUACACACUGAACUCCUAAUCCAAAUCCAAGUUGUUAAUUUUUGACAGAGUCGCAGAAUGUGAUGUCUUGCUGUGCACACCCUUCCGAUAACGAGCCCAGCAUAAAAAGAAAGCAUGACCCUAGACGUGGAGUGAAUGGAGUGUGCAGGUUCCGACGAGUUCACUGCGGCUCCAGUGGGGAUCGGGCAGGCUCCAAGCACUAAAUAACCCUAAUGAUAUCAGGACUGGUCCUGCUUGCUCCAUCUACACACUGUUGGUUAACAGUGGACCCUCUGACUCUCAUGAGGAUGACUGGACAUGUGACAGAAGACCAGGAGUCCGGGAGGCUGCCCUUUCCUGCUUUAACUUUGUUCUGUCAGAAUUGAUAAGAUUUCGAUUUCCAGUUAAAACCCGCCAUCGGGUGUUCAGCAGGACAGUGAAAGAACGCCCGGCACACUGAACCAACAGUCAGAGGUUGAACCUACCAGCAAAGCUGGCUCUGAUGGACAAACGCUUCCUAGGGCUCCUUCCUGAUGCAGCUGCUAUCUGCAGACCUCCUGGACUGCCCUGGGAAGGGAGUGGGAGCUCCUGCCACAGAUGGGCGGAACAUCGGCAAGAAGGGUUAAAAGUGGCCAAAAAUAACAGUGCCUUCCAGAUGAGGUGACCUCAGAGCCAAGAGCAUCAUGGGGUAGAGUAUCUUGUUCUUAGUUUUAUGACCUAAAAAGUACACAGAAGAUGCAAAGAUACUACAGAGAGAAGGAACAAAGUCUGCAGGGAACAGGGAAAGGCGAUUAGCUAUCAUAUUUUUUUUUAAUUGAAUUUUGUUGCGCAUGAACGCAAAAGAAAACACGGCCUUUUAAUACAUGUUUGAAGAGAGACCUAGCUAUAUAGAUAGAUAGAUGAUAGAUAAGUAGAUAGGUGAUAGAUGAUCGAUAGAUAGGAAAGUAGAUAGAUAGAAUAGAUGAUAGAUAGACAAAACUAUGCACACUAGAAGAGCAAAAGGAGAAAAAGGUAGAGACAAGACUGCCUUCCUUCGUUUGCUAUUGAAACAAACUUAAUAAAUCCUCAUUGAGAAUCAA
rnacentral:sRNA from 1 species